CGCUGAGCACCAACUUCGAGGAGGAAGCCACUAUUUGAUGCCUGAGCGGUGACGCUAAGCAUCUUGCGAUUCUGAAACCCAGUGCUGAGCACCGAGAUCCACCGCUGAGCACCCUGCGAUUAUAGGGGCUACCGCUGAGCGGUCGAAUGAGCGUUGAGUGCCUAAAUGAUGGGCCUAGGCCGAAAUUCUGUUACUUUUCUGUGUUAUAAAUAGCCCCAGUGCGACCCUUAGGGUAAUUUAACCAAGCCCAGCAGACAACCGCUCAGCGUCCAAUUUAAC
rnacentral:lncRNA from 1 species